rnacentral:rRNA from 1 species
GAUGAACGCUGGCGGCGUGCCUAAUACAUGCAAGUCGAGCGAACGGACGAGAAGCUUGCUUCUCUGAUGUUAGCGGCGGACGGGUGAGUAACACGUGGAUAACCUACCUAUAAGACUGGGAUAACUUCGGGAAACCGGAGCUAAUACCGGAUGAUAUUUUGAACCGCAUUGUUCAAAAGUGAAAGACGGUCUUGCUGUCACUUAUAGAUGGAUCCGCGCUGCAUUAGCUAGUUGGUAAGGUAACGGCUUACCAAGGCAACGAUGCAUAGCCGACCUGAGAGGGUGAUCGGCCACACUGGAAGUGAGACACGGUCCAGACUCCUACGGGAGGCAGCAGUAGGGAAUCUUCCGCAAUGGGCGAAAGCCUGACGGAGCAACGCCGCGUGAGUGAUGAAGGUCUUCGGAUCGUAAAACUCUGUUAUUAGGGAAGAACAUAUGUGUAAGUAACUGUGCACAUCUUGACGGUACCUAAUCAGAAAGCCACGGCUAACUACGUG